rnacentral:rRNA from 1 species
GACGAACGCUGGCGGCGUGCUUAACACAUGCAAGUCGAACGGAAAGGCCCUGCUUUUGUGGGGUGCUCGAGUGGCGAACGGGUGUGUAACACGUGAGUAACCUGCCCUUGACUUUGGGAUAACUUCAGGAAACUGGGGCUAAUACCGGAUAGGAGCUCCUGCUGCAUGGUGGGGGUUGGAAAGUUUCGGCGGUUGGGGAUGGACUCGCGGCUUAUCAGCUUGUUGGUGGGGUAGUGGCUUACCAAGGCUUUGACGGGUAGCCGGCCUGAGAGGGUGACCGGCCACAUUGGGACUGAGAUACGGCCCAGACUCCUACGGGAGGCAGCAGUGGGGAAUAUUGCACAAUGGGCGGAAGCCUGAUGCAGCAACGCCGCGUGCGGGAUGACGGCCUUCGGGUUGUAAACCGCUUUCGCCUGUGACGAAGCGUGAGUGACGGUAAUGGGUAAAGAAGCACCGGCUAACUAUGUG